UACGUAGGGGGCAAGCGUUGUCCGGAAUCAUUGGGCGUAAAGCGCGUGUAGGCGGCUUUGCAAGUCGGGUGUGAAAGCCCUCGGCUCAACCGAGGAAGUGCGCCCGAAACUGCAGAGCUUGAGUACCGGAGAGGAUGGCGGAAUUCCCCAAGUAGAGGUGAAAUUCGUAGAUAUGGGGAGGAACACCGGUGGCGAAGGCGGCCAUCUGGACGGAUACUGACGCUGAGACGCGAAAGCGUGGGUAGCAAACGAGGA
rnacentral:rRNA from 1 species